AGAGCGAACGCUGGCGGCGUGCUUAACACAUGCAAGUCGAACGCGCAGCAUUCUGUAGCAAUACAGGGUGUGGGCGCGUGGCGAACGGGUGCGUAACACGUGGAUAACCUUCCUUCAGGUGGGGAAUAACCCAGUGAAAAUUGGGCUAAUACCGCAUAACAUGACGAUGGCACAUGCCGUUGUCUUCAAAGCCGCAAGGCGCCAGAAGAGGGAUCCGCGGCCGAUUAGCUUGUUGGCGAGGUAAUGGCUCACCAAGGCAUUGAUCGGUAGCCGGACUGAGAGGUUGGCCGGCCACACUGGAACUGAGACACGGUCCAGACUCCUACGGGAGGCAGCAGUGGGGAAUCUUGCACAAUGGACGAAAGUCUGAUGCAGCAACGCCGCGUGGGGGAUGAAGCUUCUCGGAGUGUAAACCCCUUUCGACCCGGACGAAUGCCCGCAAGGGUUUGACGGUACGGGUAUAAGAAGCCCCGGCUAACUACGUGCCAGCAGCCGCGGUAAAACGUAGGGGGCCAGCGUUGCUCGGAAUUACUGGGCGUAAAGGGUCCGUAGGCGGUGUGGCAAGUCGGAAGUGAAAUCUCUGGGCUUAACCCAGAGGCUGCUCCCGAAACUGCCGUGCUAGAGGAUGAGAGAGGCGAGUGGAAUUGCGGGUGUAGCGGUGAAAUGCGUAGAUAUCCGCAGGAACAUCCGAGGCGAAAGCGGCUCGCUGGAUCAUUUCUGACGCUGAGGGACGAAAGCUAGGGGAGCAAACAGGAUUAGAUACCCUGGUAGUCCUAGCCCUAAACCAUCAGGACUUGGGGUUUGCCCUGUACGGGGCAAGUCCCGUAGCUAACGCGUUAAGUCCUGCGCCUGGGGAGUACGGUCGCAAGGCUG
rnacentral:rRNA from 1 species